CUGAACAAAAAAAAUCUAAAUCAAAACUUUCAACAACGGAUCUCUUGGUUCUGGCAUCGAUGAAGAACGCAGCGAAAUGCGAUAAGUAGUGUGAAUUGCAGAAUUCAGUGAAUCA
rnacentral:rRNA from 1 species